rnacentral:lncRNA from 1 species
UUAUCUAAUAUCCAAAUGGUAUUCAUAUGUUUUUUAUCACAGCAAGUAAUAUUGAAACAAGUGAUACCUGCAUAGUUUGGGGUGUUGGACUCAGUUGCAUUUUCUGAGUAAUAGUUGUCUUGUAGUGCAAUAGCUGCCGUGGUGGCUUUUUCUUUAAUUAAUUUGGUUACUUCAUGUUGGAGAGAGCUUAGCAUAGUUCAUCAAUUUUGGUGGUGGCAUCAAGAGGAUUGUCCUUUGCAAGGAUAGUGGCCACCAUCUUAUUUUCAUUUCCCAUGGUUUUGGUUCUAAAAGACUGUCCAUCAUUCUUGCCUUUUGGUUUAAACCAAUCUGGAUACCCUAUCACUUUUAAGCAUCAUUUUCUAACAUGUCCAUCCGUUAUAGUGUGAGCAAUGCCUUAUCUUGGAGUCAAGUUUUCUUCAUCUCCCUUGAGAUUGCCUUUGUGUUCUAUUUAAGAGCAAUGGUUGGCAUGAAUGGAGGUGGAAAGACAACAACUGUUAUUAUGAUUCAGGUUUGUGCCAUAGGACCUAAGCCAUUCCACCCACAAGUGUUGCCUCUUGUUUGUAGGUAAUUUAAUUCAUAUUGAGUUGCUUUGUUGUGAAACUUGAGUGAUUGUAUUUUGAUUUUCUUGUAGUUACAAAUUUCAAUUGAUGAUAGGACCUAUUUAGCAAAAUUCCAGUUUAAAAGAAUCACGAAUUUAGAGAAUAAAUGGCAAAUUGUUCAAUUUUGUGCUUUAAGUUAAAGUGAAGUAUUUUUAAGCUGGUUGAUAACCAUUUUAUUUGACAAGUUUUUUAUUCUCUAAACUUUAUGGGUUUCUAUUGAAAGAGGAGUUUAGUUCUUUCACUCUGAAAAGCUAGAACUUUUACUAAAAUUGGAUAGUAUCUAAAUAUAGUAAUUUGCAUUUCUUAUUGAGUUUGCAGAGAUCCUAUAAUGGAGUACUCAAAACCAUUUCAUAAAUUAGGCACAGUGGGCUUUGAAUUACUAUCCUUGGCACUUGGGCUGAAGCCUGACCCUCUCAAAGAGAUGGGUUGUGCAAAAUAGCAUGCUUGCUCUCCAGCAUGCCCUGGUGGGGAGGUGGUUGCCAUUAAUUUGUCCUUCAUUUCACUUGUUAUAAUUCUGAAAAUGCAUACACUUAAAUGUUAAUGUGUCCAUAGACUUUGAUCCAAAUAUAGUCUGGAGAUGAAGAGUUUUGUUUUAAUUUGUAUUAGAAACUGAGAUUUCAUGCUUAUUUUUUAGUCUUUGUUUUCAAGUAAAUUUUUUAGGUAUCAAUUACCCAUAGUUCCAUUUUUCUUAGGCUUUUAAGCUUGGAGGAGAACUUGUUAGCUUUGAUAUAGCUACUUGUGCGAUGAUCUGUAACUUUUUUCGAAGACUGGUUAUAAACGUCACGUGCCUUUUUAUGCAUGGAAAUCCUUAGUGAAAUAGGAAUAUUCAGUAGCCAUGUCUUUAAUUUGGGGAAAAAGAUUGAGCAUGAAUGGUCAAUUGAUAUUUACCAUUAGUUCAGAUGCUAUUACAUUUCACAAGGGUUACUAGUGCUUAGACUUGAAAUAAUGCAUUCAUUUUUAUUUAUUUCACUCAUCUAUUUGCAAGACUUUACAAUCAAAUAUGCAAAGCAUCAUCCUGAUGUAAAUAGGUAGAGUUUAUUUUCUCAUUGAAGAAUGCAUUUGAUAUCUUGAAAAGUUUCCAACUGCUACAAAGGUUAUGGUUACAUUUUUUCUGAAUUUCACUGAGAAGCCACAUUAAAUUUUGAGAGACAAUAUGGUGAACAAACAAGUCUAGGUUUUAUGACAUGUUAAUUUCCUUUUUUCUGCUUGUGAAGAGAAGGGUUUAUAUGAAUUCUAUGCCCAAAAACAAUAUAGUACCACCAAAUUAGUGGCAAGCCGUCAUUAUCUAAAGUUAAUUACUGUCAAAGUAAUUCUAACUCUUUUUUCUUAGCGGCUCAAAAUAUGUAAUAAGUAUACAAUUUGAAAAUUUUUAUUUGAGCACAACUGAUCCUAUUUGGAGAAUAAAAAAUUAAGACUCCGUUUGUUUCACGGAAAAUAUUUUUUUAAAAAAUAUUUUUUAUAUUUUCUGGUAUUUGAGUCACUCAAAAAAUUUAAUUAACAAAAAAUAUUUUUAUAAUGAAAGAAAAAAAUAAGCCAUUUUAAAGACUUUAAGAUUUUUAUUAAAACAUUUGUAUAUAAAUUUGUUAAUAAAUUUUAUUUUUUAAAUUAAAAUUAAUUAAUACAAAAUAAGUUAUCUCAUUAAAAAAUAUUUUUUGUGAAAAAUAUUUUUUGCUGAAAAUAUUUUAUAAAUACAAGUUAUUUUAUCAAACAAACAGAAAACAAACAGAGACUAAAUGGUGAGUAUCAAUUCUUAAAGGACAACAUGCGUGAUACCCAGUGAGGCUAUGACAGAAUUCUAUUACUUCUUUUGUAUCUAUUAGGUGGCUGGCUCAAUUAUUAGGGAAUAAGACUUACUUCUUCUUUCUUAUUAGUGGUGAAGUUUCUAGAAUAAAGAAAGAUAAAUAAGGAUAAGAACUUAUAACAUAUGAUAAUCAAUUACCUUAUAAGAGAAGUAGUGUGAAUGCUUUAGAUAAUUCUAUUUUUUCAUUGAUUUAUAUUUCAAGUAGUAUUGAUUUAUUUUUUGCGAUUCACUUUGUAAUCUUAUCUUGUUUAACAAAAAACAACACUAUUAAUUUUUUUAAAAUUUACUGAUGAAUUUACUUACUAUUCUAUUAUUAUUGUAUCAAAUAAAGUCGUUGUAUAAAAUAAAGGUAUUAUUUUUUGGAUUUCGUGUUUAUUGUCUUAGUUAUUUGGUAAAGAAUGGAAAUAGUGGUUUAAAAGAAUAUUGAGAAGAGAGUACCUUUUGUAUACAUAGCUAAUAUUAAUAAACUUAAUUUGAAGAUAUAGUCAUACUUUAAUUUAUUUUUUAUGAGCAUUAAGUUUUUUGCAUGGUGAAUUUUAAUAAAAUAUUCAAUUUAUUUGUGUUGAUAAAAAAUUUUAAAUUGGGUAUAUUAUAUUUAUUUAUGUAUUAUCUUGAGAUUGUAUGAGUAAAUAAAGAUAUUUGAAAAUAAAUAAAUAAGUAAAUUUAUUAACAAAUUUUAUUAAUCUUUUUUUCUCCAAUGAAUUUGUGAUGGACAUAAGCCAUCGUUGUGCUUAGGGAUGAAUUUUUUAUGAAAUCAUAAUUGAAAGCAUUUUGUUUUUUCCAUAGAAUUGGCAACGAAAAAGGUUGUCAGUAAAAUUUUCAAUGGAUUGUUGCAUGAAAAAUAUUAUAACUAAUGUUUCUAAUGGUGCAAAAUAUACGUCAGCAAAAUCGAAAAUCUAUUGCUAAAAGUAUUAGCGAUGAAAAUUGCAGUCUGUUCCUUUGUAGUGUUCACCUUAUACUUCAUCCAUGAUCAGUAGGUGGCUCCCGUUGGCUAGAACUCUCGGCUAAUAGACCUCCCAUUACCAACUCAGAAGGAAGACAAAAGUGAAUCCUUUUAAUAUACCCAAAUAAGUACUUGGUAUAUAAGUUGUGGUGUAAUCAAUUAUGCGCUAGCUUGAGUAGAAUUAGUACCUCCUUGAUCCAUACCAUGAGGCUAAAAAGCUCACUGUGCAUUAGUGUGUGUAAAGGUGUGCAAAGAUCUCCUAAGAAACAUAAGAUGGAAUAUAAAAAUCAUACAAGGUUACUUUCUCUAUCCCCAGUGGAGUCGACAGACUAUGACACACAAAUUCUAUAUAAUUUGUUAGAGUCUCGUCUUCUCACAAUACUACCAUGAGGUCUAGAUAUUUUAUUUACUUGUGAAGAGCAGAGGAAAAGAAUCGCCACCUUAAUGAGAUCAAUGACAAAAUUUGAAGGACUUGUUAGCUCAUUCACUCCUAGCAAAGUUCCACUAUCCUCCUUAUUCAAUGAUCCAAUGGUUAGGUUGAGAAGCGGGUACGAGAGAGAAAAUGUAUUAGGCACCCUUCUCGCCUAGAUUUAUCUAAAAACUAAUAUCAUCCUUUUUUAUUGAUUCUUGUAUUUUGUCUUAGUAUAUUCAUUAGGAAAUAUUUUUCAAGCAAUAUGCAAACAAUUUAUUUCAUAUGUAUUUAUCAUUUAAUCACAUUUUACACAUGCAUCCUUCGGCAUAAGCAUGCCAAAUAUCUACUUUAAUUAAGGUAGAGUAAUUACUAAAUUGUCCUAGUUAAUAUAUUCCUAAUUUAAUUUCAUGGCAUAGUCCAAUUACACUAAAGCGAGGGUCCUAACAUGCACAAUAUAUGUGUGGUUCAUCCAAAUCAAAGAUAAGUUCACUAGGUUCUAACAUGCGUAAUUAAACCCAUUUUAUGGUCUUCUUGCUCUAAGUUAUUCAGCCAUUUUCUACACCAAAAUUUAAACAACCUCUAAGCAUGCAAACCGUGUCUUUAACACGCAUAAUUGCUUUUAGAUUUUCUAACUAAGUAUACUUAUUUUCUAAAUUCAAUUACAUGCCAAUAAAGUAAGAAAAGCUAAUUAAAACAUUGAAAGAAAUUAAGGAGAAUAAAGAUUAAAUAAUUAAUCCAAAAGGCCUUAAUUAGAAAGAUGAAAGAGAAAAGAAUUACAUUCCAAAAUAAUUGACCAAAAUAAAAUAAAAUAAAAUAAUAAUUCAAAACUAAUAAAUUAGAAGAUUUUAAGCCCAACAUCCUUUAAGGACCUUUAAUUACCUCCAUUGGGCCUCCACUAUAGGCUCCAUAUGUCCACAGAAGAAAAAAUUUUGCAACUAAAACCUAAGGAUUUCUCCUUCAUUUAAUUAAAAUAAAUUAUCAAGGCAAAAUAAAAUUAUAAUAGUCCAUAAAUGAUUAAUAAUAAUAAAAAUCCAAAAAUAAUAAAAAAAAAGAUUGGAUAUUCAAAACAAAACAAAAUCUUUAGGUGAAAGAAAGUCUAUUAUGAUCACAAUUCCACUUAAUAUAGAUUUCAGAUAAAAAAAUGUCUCUUAAGGGGAGUCCUAUCUACCUUUUGGCUUCUAUUUUAAUACUAAAAUACAUGUUAUUAUAGUAAAAAUAAGGAUUGACUAUAAAAAAUACAAUAAGAAUAAACAAAAAAUACAAAAUGAACAAAAUAGCACGAACUAAAAACUUAUAUAUGAAUAUGAUAUAUUUUGAUGAUAAAAAGUGAAAAUAUGAAAAAAAAAAUAGCAAAAGACCUAAAAAGAUAUGAAAUUUUGUGAAGACAUCCCUAAGACACCAAACAAAACAUUCAUGAAAGAAUCAUGCAAAAAAGGAUAAGCCAAUUUUGAGAUUUAGCCAUCUCAAUAAGGUUGUCAUUGAACUUGUCAGAUUUUGCACACUAAUUUUGUAUGCGAUAUGACAUUACGUUAGAGACACAAAUGUGAAAAACUCAAAAUAUGGAAAAUUUAAUAAUAAACAUCUUGAACUUAAUUUUAAACUCAAGAAUCACCCAAAAGGGUGAUUGAAAACUCAAGAUAUAGCCUUUACAAGUCGCAUCAUUGUUUGGAACUCCUAAAAAUAUCUUAUUAUUCAAUUAAAAUUUGAAAAAGCAUAACUAAUUCAAUAAAAAUCUGAAUUAGGCAAAUAAUAUAUGAAAAUUAUAUGGAAUUUUCAAAAGAAAUUCAAAAAAAAAAAUUCCAGACUAAUAAUAGACUCCUAUCAAAAUCGACUUUUAAACAAAAUUGAUUUGCCUCUUAGACAUGCACAAAUUUUUUGUUUGAAAUUCAAUAUGAUAGGUCCCCGUCAAAGCCAAGGUAAAUAAAAGAGAAUAAGAAGUUUCUGAUAUUUUUCAUUGAUGCUAAAUGCUGCUGCUACACGUAAUUUAAAUAAGAAAUGGGCAAACAACUUAAUCCUAUUCUCUUGGCCACAAUCGGCACUAAAAAGAUUUUAUUGCCAAGAUUUGCUGAAUACUAAUUGACUAAGUAAUUUAAAUAAAAAUAAUUGCAGUAAAUGAUAAAUAAUAAAAUAGCAGGAAACACUUAGUCUAAAUACUUCUUAUUUUUUAUAAUAACUCUGGAUGAUCGCCUGAUUGGUCUAUCAGUACCUCCCCCAUCGGCAGGAACCUUGUCUUCAAGGUUCAAGGUAGGAAACCUGGCUUGCAAAUCUGCAGUACAUUCCCAAGUCGCAUCUUCCUGCGGCAAAUGCUUCCAACGAACCAGACUUUCUUCUGAGAGACGGUUGCCAAGUCGAACCCACCUAGUAUCCAAAACUUCAGCAGGCUCGAAAACAAAGUAACCAUCAUCAGUAAGUUGAGGAAAAUCAGAAGAAGUAGGAACAACAUCGCCGAUAUGUUUUUUUAAAAGUGACACAUGAAAAACUGGGUGAAUCUUGGAACCCGAAGGCAGCUGUAAUCGGUAAGCCAAGUUCCCAAUUUUUUCUUUCACCAGGAAUGGGCCAUAAAAACGGCUAGCUAACUUCUGAAAAGCACGUUUGGACACAGAUUAUUGCCGAUAAGGCUGCAAUUUAAGAUAAACAAAAUCUCCGGGAUGGAAUUCCACAUCUCUGCGUUUUUUGUCUGCAAGUUGUUUCAUUUGAUGAACAGACCUUGAGAGAUGAAUCUUUAAGUCACGUAAGAUUUCAUCUCUAGUGGCUAAAGCAUUAUCCACUUCAUGUACCAAGGAAAGAGCCCAAUUCAUAUCGAGGAACCAUAGGAGGAUUCCUGCCAUACAAAGCUAAGAAAGGGGUCAUUCCAAUAGAGAUGUGAUAAGUUGUAUUAUACCAAUAUUCGGCCCAUGGUAAGAAAGAACACCACUUGCGUGGUUGUUGGCUGGCAAAGCAACGUAGAUAUUGCUCCAAACAUCUGUUAGUGACCUCCGAUUGACUAUCCGUUUGAGGAUGAUAAGAGGAGCUCAUAUUCAGCUGUGUUCCAGAAAGCUUAAAGAAUUCUCGCCAAAAGUGACUCAUAAAAAUGGGGUCCCAGUCACUGAUAAUUGAUCUUGGCAAGCCAUGAUAUUUGACAAUCCCAGCCACAAAUACUUCAACAAUGAUUUUGGCAGAGUAUGGAUGAGAUAAUAGCAGAAAAUGUGCAUAUUUACUCAAUCUGUCGAUGACAACUAGAAUAGAAUUCUUACCAUAGGACAUAGGAAGCCCAUCAAUGAAAUCCAUGGCUAUGUCAUCCCAAACCUGAUGUGGAAUUGGCAAUGGCUGAAGGAGACCAGCUGGAGAAGUGGUUGCUGAUUUAUUCUUUUGGCAGACAGAACAAGCUGCGACAUAGGCCUGAAUCUGUGUGCGCAUAGAAGGCCAGUAAAACUGCUGUGAAAUUCUUUUAAAAGUGCGCAAAACACCUGAAUGGCUGCCGCAGGGAGAGUCGUGGAACUCUUGAAGAAGCAGAAUAGGCAAAUCGGAUUUAGGGGGAACCACCACGCGAUUUUUAUAAAAUAAUAAUCCAUUCUUCCAAGAGUAAGGAUUUUCAGGUUGUUCAGUUGCCAGUCGUCCUAUCCGAAGCAUAUAAGGAUCUGUAGAAAGAGUGGCUUUAAUUCGGCUCUAGAGAGAAGACUGCGGCAAAAAAAGAGAAUUUAGGCUGGGACUUCCAGUGACGCGAGAUAAAGCAUCUGCGACUUUGUUUUCCUUGCCCGGUUUAUAAAUAAUUUCGUAAUCAUAGCCCAAUAAUUUCGAAACCCAAUUCUGUUGUUCAGGAGUGACAAUCCGCUGUUCAACCAUGUAUUUGAGGCUACGCUGGUCUGUCUGAAUAAAGAAUUUACGGCCAAGAAGAUAAGGACGCCAUGUGCGUAUAGCCUGUAAGAUGGCCAGCAUCUCUUUAGCAUAGGUAGACAAUGAUUGCUUCGAAGGCUCCAAAGCACGACUCAUGAAAGCAAUUGGUUGAUCCCUCUGAGAUAAUACUGCUCCAAUACCUGUAUUAGAAGCAUCAGUAGUAACAAAAAAUGGCUCACUGAAAUUGGGUAUUGCCAAUGUAGGAGUGGAAAUCAUUGCUUUUUUCAAGGAUAGAAAAGAGGUCUCUGCUUCUGCUGUCCAAAAGAAAGGACCUUUUUUCAACAAGUUUGUCAAUGGCUGGGCAAUUACACCAUAAUUUUGCACAAAUUUUCUGUAGUAGCUAGUAAGUCCCAAAAACCCACGCAAUUCAGUGACUGACGUUGGUGGAGGCCAAUCUUGUAUUGUGCUGAUUUUGGAUUUAUCCACUUGAACACCAGCUCUCGACACCACAUGCCCCAAAUACUCAAUUUGUUCUUGACCGAAGGCACACUUGCUGAGUUUAAUAAAGAACUGAUGCUGCCGCAACAACUCAAAGGCCAGCUGUACAUGUUCCAGAUGAGAUGCCCAAGUAGGACUAUAUAUGAGCACAUCGUCGAAGAACACCAGCACAAAUUUUCGCAAGUAAGGGCAAAAAACAGUGUUCAUGAGCGCCUGAAAGGUGGAUGGCGCAUUACACAGGCCGAAGGGCAUCACCAUAUAUUCAUAAUGGCCAUUAUGAGUACGGAAGGCCGUUUUAUGAAUAUCAGCAUGAUGUACACGAACUUGAUGGAAGCCUGCAAUAAAAUCAAGCUUAGUAAAAUAAGCUGCACCAUAGAGUUCAUCCAACAUGUCCUCCACUUUAGGAAUAAGAAACCGAUCUCGAACGGUGACUUGAUUCAGAGCUCGAUAAUCUGUACAGAAUCGCCAGGAACCAUCUUUCUUCUUAACUAGCAAGACUGGUGAGGAAAAAGGACAUGUGCUAGGCCGUAUGAGUCCUGAUUUCAGCAUUUCAUGGACUUGCUUCUCUAUUUCUUCCUUCUGAAAAUAAGCAUAUCUGUAAGGGCGCACAUUCACGGGAUCAGCACCCUCCUUGAGAUUGAUGUGGUGAUCAAUUUCUCGAUGUGGUGGUAGCUGAUUUGGUUUCUGGCAUAUGUCUUAAAAUUGAGUUAAUAAUUGUAACAUGUCUAGAUGUAGGCCUUCAGGAAGAGAGGUGGGAGAAGAUUCCACACAUAUUGCAAAAACGACAUUGCUCUGCUUCAACUCUUUUGUCAUUGCUUUGGGAGAGAGAGAUUCAAUUGGUCGACUGAGAAUUCCCUGCAGAUGCCGUUGCUGUCCUUUCCAAUUGAAAUCCAUCGUUAAAUGUUUCCAAUUACAAGAAACUGUGCCCAGCUGUUGUAACCACUGUACUCCCAAUACAACAUCCAAACCCAUCAGUGGAAGAGAAAAGAAUGUAGCUGUAAAUGGAAUACCUUGAAGAGAGAAGGGAAUAUUUGUAAAUUUGCCGGUGCACUGCAGGGGAGUCCCAUUAGCCACCUUGACAUUGAAGAGUUUUGUUGGUUUGACUGGCAAUUUGAGCAACCCAGCGAUUUUCUCAUUGAUAAAAUUAUGAGUGGAGCCACUAUCAAUGAGAACAAUCAGUUCAACAAAAUAAAUAUGAAUUGCAACCCUCAUGGUACCUGUAGAAGACCAUCCAGUCAAGGCAUGUAAGGAAAUUUCCGCUUCGAUGUCAUUGUCAUCAUCCUCGUCCAAGCUACAGCCACCAUCCAGUAGGAGGAGUUGUGAUUUGGAACACCUGUGCCCUGAGGUGAACUUUUCAUCACAGUUGAAACAUAGACCUUGCGAUCGUCGUUUUCGCAUCUCGUCCCAGGUUAAUCGCUUUAUUGGGUUAGUCGGCUUGUUUUUUGUUGGAGAGUAAGAACUCGUCUGGAGAGAUGGGCGAAUUGCUUUUUUCUGACGAAGCAACUGCUCAUCCUUCAUUCGAGCUAAGCUUAUGGCGUCUUUUAAUGUCUUCGGCUUAAACAUUCUGAUUUCGUCGGCAAUUUCGGAUUUGAGACCGCCCAUAAAGGUACCGACUAGCGCCUUCUGCGUCCACCCUUGAACUCUAUUCCCCAAUUUUUCAAACUCCCUUUGAUAAUCUCGCAAAUCACCAGUUUGUCGUAUUUUGGAGAGUGCCUCAUCAAAAUCUUCACAGUCGGUGGGCCCGAAGCGAGACCACAAUUCUUCAGAAAAUACUUCCCACGAAACGCUUUUUCCUGCCUCAGUAUGCGUUCUGCGAAGCCACUGCCACCACUUAUUAGCUUCUCCACGUAGGUGGUAUGAGGCCAAGGAAACCUUUUCUAAAUCUGGGGUUCCUUGAUACUCGAAGAACUGGCCUACUCUGGUAAACCACUCCGUCGGAUCGUCUCCUGAAUAUUUCGGGAAUUCCAGUUUUGCUAUUUUAGCUGAAUAAAGUGGUUUUGCCCCGUCUCUGGUUUCAUCUUGGUGUUUGCGGGCCAGACCAACUUGAUCUUUAGCGCUGCUGGCAGCUUCGUUGUUGGAGAGGGUGGGUUCAGUGAGUUUAGUAAUGGCUGCCUUGAGUUGCUGCAGCUCAUCACCAAUUCCCAUUUCCAUUUUUGUCAUGCGAUCUUGGAGCUGACCGAGGCCAACUUCCACGUUUUCAAUUCGCUCCUUGUUGGUAGCCAUUUAGAGGUGAAAGGAAAAGAAUGAUGGCUCUGAUACCAAUGAUAUAUCCCAGUCAAAGCCAAGGUAAAUAAAAGAGAAUAAGAAGUUUCUGAUAUUUUUCAUUGAUGCUAAAUGCUGCUGCUACACGUAAUUUAAAUAAGAAAUGGGCAAACAACUUAAUCCUAUUCUCUUGGCCACAAUCGGCACUAAAAAGAUUUUAUUGCCAAGAUUUGCUGAAUACUAAUUGACUAAGUAAUUUAAAUAAAAACAAUUGCAGUAAAUGAUAAAUAAUAAAAUAGCAGCAAGCACUUAGUCUAAAUACUUCUUAUUUUUUAUAAUAACUCUGGAUGAUCGCCUGAUUGGUCUAUCACAAUAUUGCAAUAAAAAAUAAUUCAAGGGAUAUUUAGAGCAUCAAAACUAAUCAAGAACAUUUGAAUGAAGUAUUCUACGGGAAAAUAAUUGCCUUAUGAUAAAGAAAAGAAAAGAAAAACACACUUUUAAAAAGGAAAGAGUAGCCGUAGUUGUAAUUGUUAGAAGGGAUUCUUGAUUCUCCUUUCUUUAGUAGAAGAGAAGAAAUUUUAAAAUUGAAGAGGAGAGGUGGCCAACUGCUUUUGAGAGAUUUGAGUGAUGAUUUAUUGCCCAUGAGGUUUAGAAUGAGAUAAAUAUAUAGGAGUGGUUGUAAGGUUGGUGUUUGGUUAAAAUAAUAACUCUCUUCCUUCUUUUUUCCUCUUGGCUAGCCAUGGGUUGGUUGGGUUGAUUUUGGUUCAAUUUAGCUCUUAAUUAUGACCAAAUGGAGUCUCACACAAGUCCAAGAAAUUAUAAAAAUGCCACAUUUUAUUUCCUUGAUCUAAUGGACCACUUCCAAUGGCCCAUUUGACCACUCUUUGCUCCUUUAAGACUAAGCCUAUUUCUCUAAAGCUCAUUUAGUUCUUAGGCAAAUGGAAAAGUCUAGAGAAAGAAGGGAAAAAAAAAAUCAUUUUACGUCAGAAGUUUAUUUUUUCAUUUUUCAAUUUUUAUUUUAUUUUUUUAUGGUAUAAAACACUCAUUUAAUUGGUGAUUUUCAUUAUCGUACCCUUAUUGUUUUCGGAUGUACACGCAUCAAAAAAUACAAAAAUCAAGGGUGUGCAUAGGUCUAACAAUACAAAAUAAUAUUAAAGUCUAAAAUUGACAUAAUAGAAAAAUUACAAAAUAAUAUUGAAGUCCAAAAUCGACGAAAUAGAAAAAAAGAGUCAUAUACCUUGGGCUGUAUUUAGAGUCCUAAAGCCAUAUUUUUUAUUGUCCUUUAUAUCCAUGUUUUCUUGUACAAAAUGAAACACGAGGCACACCUUCUUUAAAGUAUGGGGUAGACAUGUCCUAUAUUAUUUAUUGCUUAUAUCCAUGUUUCCUUGUAUAAAAUGAAACGAGGUGCACCUCCUCUAAAGUAUGGCAUAGGCAUGUGGAAGGUAAGAUAACUUGUAAUCCUUGCUAUGUCUUAUGUUCUCACAUGCUUCGUUAGAGUUGUGUUGUGACCUCCUUGUUUGAAUGCUUUCAUAACUCCAAGUAUAAUUUUCAUCUUAAAGCCCUUAGACCGAUUGAAAAUAGCUUGAUUUCUUAUGUAUUGAAACUUCUCGGCUUGAAUUCAUGAAGAGUGCAAAGAAUCUUGUCAUUUAUGUUAUUUGUAUAUCAGUUGUUUUCUCUCACAUUUCUAAUUAAGAGUUCUUAAAUAUCUAUUCUCGUAGCCAACAGAAGAAUUAAAAGCAGAUCAUUUCCAUUCACAAAAGACAACAUGGCUGAGAAAUGGAGAACGGAGGAAAACUGAUCCACAUCACAUAAGCAAAGAAGAAAGGAGAGGGAAAAGAUAUUUUGUUGGAUGAAAUGUUAUCAUUAUAAGCGAAC